rnacentral:lncRNA from 1 species
AAGAAUUGUGCAGGUUAUUGAUGUGUUUGCUGCUAUUGUAUGUUGUUGCUGAUUUUGAAUAGGUUGCUAGUUGUCAUGGUGAUGGUUGAACCAGGCUGCAUUGGAUGUGCAAUUGAUACAGGGUUUGAAUGUCUGCCCUACUAUGAGUUUGGUCCUUUGUUCAUGUGACUGCUACAGAUUAGGACAUUGAUGGAUGCAAGGUGAAUUAGUAGGCAUUUG